ACACAGAAAGAAUAAAAUCCAUCUGACAUCACGUUACCUUCGUGUGAUAUAAAGAUAUAAAACAAGGUAUUAUUACACAGAAACAUGUGCAACCAGCUGGUUCCAAAAUCCGAGUGUAUUAUUACGCAUAUUUUAUGUAAUAUUGCGUUGCAUGAAAAUGCAAUAUUAAAUCUGGCUGCACUUCUCUAUCUCAGCUCAGUCCGACAGUCCGUGGAGGUGCCAUUUUGAAUUUAUUGCACUUCUCAUGAGUGAAUUCGCAAAAUUUAUUGUUUAGUUUUUGAUAAAAACUCAUGUUAUUUACAACUAAUAUUUGCGUGCUAAAGGGAUAAUAAAACAAUAUUUAAUGGAUGUGGAGGCGUAUAAUUUGAUUCCGUAUUGCGGAACGACCAUGAGGAUUCGAUGUGUCAUAGUUUCUUGAUUGAGGCGUGGGGGAAAGCUGAUUCUCGGUGAAAGUCCGGCCUCGACUGUGCGCCCAUUGGUCAACCUGAUCCUGAUCCCAAUCAUCGGCCUUUUUGGGCAAGAAGUAUCCUACCUCGCUUGUUUAACUGCCCUGGCAAGAUGAAGGUAAUUUGCCAAAAAUCUGGAGGCGCUUAGUAAUCUGAAGCCACGAGAGACGAUUUGUAAGUGCAUGGCUUCGAGAUGGCUGCAACCGCUGUCGAUGGUAUCAUCCGUUCAUGAUGAUUCAGGAAUGCUUGAUUUCUGGUGGGAAUCAAAAGCUACUCUACGCCAAGGAACAAUCAACUAUUGAGUCUGAAGUCUUCCAAGACCACCGAUUUUUGCGCCGCUCGGUUAUGUUCUUCCAGUUCUUCCUUCAAGGGUAACUCGUCUGGGACUGGCCUGCGAAUUUCAAGUGAGAAGCUGCUCAUCUACCGCCAUGCCAUUUAAUAAAAAAUGAACAAUGAAAUAUGUGCAAAUAAAAUAAAAAUUAAAAAUGUGGCAAAA